CCUACGGGAGGCAGCAGUGAGGAAUAUUGGUCAAUGGGCGCAAGCCUGAACCAGCCAAGUCGCGUGAGGGAAGAAGGCCCUACGGGUUGUAAACCUCUUUUGCCGGGGAGCAAACCUGAGCACGUGUGCACAGGCGGAGAGUACCCGGAGAAAAAGCAUCGGCUAACCCCGUGCCAGCAGCCGCGGUAAUACGGAGGAUGCGAGCGUUAUCCGGAGUUAUUGGGUUUAGAGGGUGCGCAGGCGGGCUGUAAAGCCGGCGGGAAAGAUUCAGGGCUCAACCCGAUCGAGCCGUCGGAACUGGGAGUCUUGAGUGGGCGAGAAGUAGGCGGAAUGCGUGGUGUAGCGGUGAAAUGCAUAGAUAUCACGCAGAACGCCGAUUGCGAAGGCAGCAUACCGGCGCCCAACUGACGCUGAGGCACGAAAGCGUGGGGAUCGAACAGGAUUAGAUACCCCAGUAGUC
rnacentral:rRNA from 1 species